UGAGAAGGGCUCUGGGUUUGUUUUGCUGGGCGGCUUUAUGUCAGCUUGGCUGUCAGCUGCAAGAGUGCUUUGAACUUUUAGGUGGAAAAUGCCGGAAAGUAACUUCACAGAGUGGAGCGACAUUAGCGCGGUGCAGGAUGUGGAAUUCGUGUUUGGCGUCCUAGGCAUCCCCCUUGUAUCCCAGGAGCUGGACAUCAGUGGGGAGAACCUUCUGUUCUUUUAUGGAGAGAAGAUGAAGUGAUUGAUAUAUUAAUACGAGCUAUACUUUACUGUUUUUCUGGAAGUGAGUUUACCUGCCACUGCUGUCUUCAUACAGAAAACAUUUAUUGAAUGUGUACUAUGUUUUGGAUACUGUGCUCCAUAACUGGUGGGAGACCAGAAAUAUAAAGAAGGAAUGAGGUGUAGUUUUGACUUUCAUUUCUGAGAAGAUAAAGGCAAGAUAUGCAGAAAAAAAAACAAGAUAUACUUAAAUAGGAAAUGUACAGAAUGGGUGACUGGUUCUCUUUGGGAUUUGCUUGACUAUGUGGACCAUAGUGCCGCUGACUGAGACUGGGAAAUAUACAGGGAAGAGCCAAUUUGGAAGGGAAAGGUGAUGAAUUCAAUUUGGAAUGUGAGUUUGAGAUGCAUGUGGGACAUCCAGCACAUAUGCCCAUUGGACAACCAAGACUUACUGCCUGAACUAAAGGAAAUGACAGGAUGAUUCAGAAGGAAUAUGACAACAGGAUCAGAAGACAUUCAAGAGUAUGUUUGUGUUAAAGAGAAGGGUGUAGUUGGGUAUGAUUUGAUUGUCUUUCAUCAGAUUCUUGAAGUAAUCAAGACAUAAUGAUCAUAUUUGGCUAGCAAGUAGGCAGAUUGUUGUAAAGUAAACUGUUACUGAGUUUACUGUGUUCAGACACUAUUCUGAGUGUUUUACAUGUAUUAACUGAUUUCGUCUUCACAACAAUGCUCUGAAUUAUAUUCACUUUAUAGAUGAGAAAGCCAAUGUACAAGUAAGAUGCCAAAAUUACACAGUAGAACCCCAUAAAGUGGCACACACCUAUAACCCCAAGCUACU